GGGCCCGCACAAGUGGUGGAGCAUGUGGUUUAAUUCGAUGAUACGCGAGGAACCUUACCAGGGCUUAAAUGGGAAAUGACAGGGGCAGAGACGCCCCCUUCUUCGGACAUUUUUCAAGGUGCUGCAUGGUUGUCGUCAGCUCGUGCCGUGAGGUGUCGGGUUAAGUCCCAUAACGAGCGCAACCCCUAUUUUUAGUUACCAGCGAGUAAUGUCGGGAACUCUAGAAAAACUGCCUGUGCAAACAGAGAGGAAGGUGGGGAUGACGUCAAAUCAUCACGGCCCUUAUGUCUUGGGCUUCACGCAUGCUACAAUGGCCGGUACAGAGGGCUGCAAUACCGCAAGGUGGAGCGAAUCCCAAAAAGCCGGUCUCAGUUCGGAUUGAGGUCUGCAACUCGACCUCAUG
rnacentral:rRNA from 1 species